GAGUUUGAUCAUGGCUCAGAACGAACGCUGGCGGCAGGCCUAACACAUGCAAGUCGAGCGGCCGUAGCAAUACGGCAGCGGCGCACGGGUGAGUAACGCGUGGGAACCUACCCUUUGGUUCGGAACAACCCUGGGAAACUAGGGCUAAUACCGGAUGAUCCCCGAGAGGGGGAAAGAUUUAUCGCCGAAGGAGGGGCCCACGUCCGAUUAGCUAGUUGGUGAGGUAAGAGCUUACCAAGGCGACGAUCGGUAGCCGGUCUGAGAGGACGAUCGGCCACACUGGGACUGAGACACGGCCCAGACUCCUACGGGAGGCAGCAGUGGGGAAUAUUGGACAAUGGGCGCAAGCCUGAUCCAGCCAUGCCGCGUGGAUGAUGAAGGCCUUC
rnacentral:rRNA from 1 species